GACCUUAAAAAUAGGAAGUUUUCAUGCUUGCAAGGUGUGCAAAGAACAGGCAUUUUAAUCUGGCCCGUUUAUUUUAUUAACCUCUUUUUAGUUUAGCUGUAAAUCAGAAAAUAUAAAUAACCUAUCUGCUCACAAAUGGCCUGGUAGCCUCCAGGGUAUUAAAAGAAGAUAAGCUAAUAAUUAUUAGUAGUUCUUAGAAGUGUUUGGGGACCCAGCAAAUCUAAACAGGUAAAUUAGUAUCUGUAACUACAAUUUACAUAAAUUACAGAAACAUAACACCCUAUAUUUAUCUAACUGCAGAAACAUGGUGUUCAUUAUCUAGAGGUAAUAAACCCCACAAAUAGGGUGUUCAUCCUGUGGAUAAAUUAAGACUGUCUCCCUGAGAAUACGAUGUCUGAGAAUCUGAUGUUCGGUCUCUGUGAGAAUUCAAUGCUGGUGAAGAGAAUAUUACAGACCAUGCAAAGAGAAGAACCUUUGGAAAACUCAGAAACAAAACUUAAUCUACACACUUGGAAAGAGCUUUACUAUCAUUUACCAGCCAUGGAGAAAAUAUGCCUAUGAUAUUAAAAGAAAUUCCGUGAAAUUUCAAGCAACCUGGUUCCCACUGUCACAGAAGCAUUCCUAAGGCAGAAGCCCUGGUUCAGGUGAGUCAUGCUUAAGAGGGGAAAUAUUUUUAUUACCCUUGCAAUUUUGGUCCUAUCCUUACCCAGAUU